rnacentral:lncRNA from 1 species
UUUUUUUUUUUUUUUUUUUGCAAAGGAUUUGCUACUGCUAUAAUAUUGCAAUUUCACACUUUUUCCCUCUUUCUUUUACAUUAUAUAGAUUUUUCGCAGACAGUCAUCAAAAUCUUAAAUACGUAAAAUAAGCAUUAAUACACCAAGCCUCUUGUUAAGAAAUAUGAUUUUGACAUCAUACUGAUAAAAUAGCUUUAUUCAAGUGGUUGAUUUCCUUACAAAUGACUUACUUCAAUGCAAUGUUUCACACUUAAAUCAUAAAAUGUAAACUUUCACUAGAAAAGCAUGUAAGUGAAAUUGGUGUUGCAUUCCUCUCUAGUUUGAUUAGAUUAAGGAUAGUAUAUAUCCAAACCAGCCCCUUGAAAUUUCUUGCGAGCAAUUUCAUCGAGACGUUCCUUCAUUUCUGGUGUCAAGUGAAUUUUCCAAUCCCCAACAACACCACGCCUGAAGAAGGAACUCCUAGGCAUCCCAUUGUUUGUACAUCCUUCCUUGUUUACCUGCAUACCUUUGAGCCUUUCAAGACUACAUCUCGAUAUAAUCCUAUCAACCUCAUCAUCAUUAAUAAAAGGUCGACCAAGAAAUGAAGCCAGCUUAGUCACUUCACCUCUAGGGUUCAUUUUCAUGUCCUCAUACCUCAAACAGAGUAUCUUAUCAGGCCUGGCUAAGCUUUCUUUCCAGUAGCCAAGAACAUGAUCAUGGAAAGGUCCAAAGAAGUGAACUCCUUUACAGAAACUAUCAAAGGCAUCUGCCAUAGGGUAUGGUUCCUCCUCGGGCUUCUUAGCUGAAUUGACGAAGUACCAUAGUGACACCAGUACAUCUUUGGGAUCUCGAGCAAUGUAUACAAUCUUACAGCCUGAGUUUUUGACCGAUUCAGACAACAUUGAAUAAGGUACAUGAGUAUGAUGUAAUCUUGGUUGACCUUUUAAAGUUGGGUUUUCUGAUGCUCUUAAUGGGUUGAAGAUUUCCAUCUCCAUACAUGGAAUCAAGUCGUGGGGAAAAUUUUCUUCCAAAAGGUCAUACUGAUCCUUGGCAUCAUUGAUAUUGUUGAAAGUCCGAGCAGCAUGACUGUCCAUAAUGGAGACCAUAAGAGAUUUAAGCCAGGUAGUUCCUGAUUUUGGUGGAGACGAAAGCAGAAUAUCAUUGUCUUGAGCCUGAAAAUUUGUUUUAGCAGAUAUGGCUCCUUCCAGCCAAUCAAGUCUGUACCAAAAGCCAUCGUACUUAUAAAGAUCAAAACGACCCCACCAUUUUUCCACCUUUGGCAGUUCAUCUUUUGCAUGGCCUGGAGGCAAGGCCGAUGAUGUAAUUUGAUUUUUGAACUCAUCUGUUACCAAAUGCAAGAGAUACCGGUGAAUUUUGUACAAUUAGACUAAUGACGUAAGCAGCAUUUCUAGUUUUGCGAGGCAAACAUGUUGUGUUUAUAAAAGCAUUUCUAGAGUGAUGAUAAUAAUGCCUUUACAAAAUCAUAUUCGUAAGUUUGUAGGGUAAAGACUAAAUAUCAGAGUAGUUGUUGAGCUAAGAAGUUUAUUUUUGUAAAUAAAUAAGAUUUUUGAAAUAUUUGGGAGGCAAAACUAAAAUAAUAUCAACUUUACACCGUAUCCUCGAGAAAAAUAUUUUUGUGUUUCCCCAAGAAAUGUCAAUUACUUUCAGGCCUUGACCAUAAAAUAACAACGUUGAGAAGCAUCAUCAACUCAAAACACAGACGCUGGCUAAUCAAUCCUGCAAGGUAUGGAACAUCAAGGCCACUAAUUGUAUGGAAACUAAACAAACGUCUUCCAGCUCUAAACAAACUAAACAAGGCUAGUACCAUCACUCUUGGUAAACAAUACAAAAUACAGUCUCUUCCUCCACCGUAAAACAGAAAAUGAGGCUAGAAAAUUGUACUUCAACAUUAAAUUUCUUAGAGAAUACAUCUAAACAUUCCCGAGUCGAAUAUCAAACUACAAAACCUCAACUUACCCACCUAUUUACUUAUCAUGUGAAGGUCAAUAGUAUAGAUGCAGGGCUAUAAAUGAAUCAAGUUCUUAACGGAUAGUUUGGACUCGAUUCAAAAAGGAUUCAUUCUAAGCUCAAAUAUUAACAAGAAACUUGAGCUUGAGAUAGAAAUUUAAUUCGGAUUUUGAAUCGAGGUCAAAUUUGCAAGUAGUUGGAUCAAUAAUGCUCUUUAAGACUAAAAAUAUUUAUAUUUUUUUUAUAAAUAUGUGAAUUGGCAAAAAAAAAUUUUAUUAUACAAUAUAAAAAAAUUAUAUUUAUAUGUCCAAUAUUAUAAUAUCAAAAAUUUUUAAAAAAAUCAAUUUCAACACUAUCAAAUACAAUAUCAAAUUGGAUUUGAUUUUAAAUUUGAAACUCGUAUAGGAUUUGAACUUCAGCACAAAUUGUUCUUCUGGCUUCGUCGUGUGCUUGCUGCAUGUUUGCAUGUCCAAAAAGAAGAGGAACAUUACAUGUUUGGAUGACUCAUCAUCUUGUACAAUUUUGUUGAUAGACGUAGGACCUUAAACAAAAGGUCCCCUCCCUCCCUCUUUUCUUUUUUUCUUCAAAAAAAAACAAACAUAGGGUAGCGGCCUAAUAAGAUCCACACUGCAACUGUCGAGACUGGAACUCCGGCCUGGCUACCGAUACGGAUACUGGAUUGGUUUCUUACAGUCGUGGACCUGUUUGCUAAAAAUGAUGGGCCUAGCCCAAACAUUUUUGUUAUUCUUUUUUUACUCCUUUCCCUCCUUUUUGGGCUAAAUGAUGUCCCCUAAUGAAUUCUUUGCUUAAGACUUACUUAUCAAUAUCCUUAAAUUAACCAAUACAAAAGUCCUUGAGAUUCUGGAUUCAAAUAUUCCUUUCUCCUCCUCGUUUCUUUAAUUAUACCCCCUCCCUGCUUACACUAAAAAAAGGCUAAAUUAAACUUACCAAUACAUAGGACUUGUUCUUAAAUGAUUUUAAUUUUGUAAAAUUGAUUUUUAAAAAUUGGAUCAUUCAUAAUAGCUCGUGCUCUCGUUUACUAUUAUAAAAGCUAUUUUGAUGAAUGCACUGGUGUUCUUGAAAAAGGUUGAAAAGCUACUUUUGAAAAUAGCAUGACCAAAUUGGGGAUCAAAGACAUAUUUGGAAGUAGGAUGAGAAUCGGAGGAAGAUUGAGAGAAACAUAUUGCAAAAAAAGUUAAUCAAGCGUCUAGAUAGUUUAGUAUUUGAGUUAAUCUUUCAUACACUGUCAGUGUAAACCUAAUAUUUACACUGGCGGUGUAGGAAAGAUUAACUCUUAGUAUUUAUGUUAAAUCUAACGGAUAUAUAUUGUUUUGGCUCGAAAAAAAAGGUCAAAAUCACAAUCUAAAAAUAGCUCAAAACGUGUUUUGGAUUUCCAACGUUUUUGGGCCUAAAAUAUCUAAAUAAAGAUAUCAAAAUAAGUCGAGAACACAACAAAUGAUUUUUUAAAAAUAAGAAACUAAAUGAAUUUUCAAAAGUCACUUGAGGACCCCGCCCACAAUAUUUUGCUAAUUAAUCAGUAUCAAACGAAACAGAAAUAUGUCUUACCAAUGAAUUGUGAUCAUCACAAGUGAUAGGUCUUUGUUUUCAUAUAGCAUCCAUGAACACAUAAAGAUUGUGGGAUGCUGCAUUUGUGUAUUAAAGUCAGUAACACAUUAACGGCUUAGUCGCAUGCUUAUGAUCUAGUUUUAAUCCACUAGCUACAGUAUUAGAACAUUUAACUUGAUUUUAUCAACCACUCCAACUCAUGUGGCUGGAGCUUUCCAAAAGGGUCAUAUGGAUUAUUAAUGGUCCAUAUUUGUGAUUCAUCACUUAAGUGAUUCAACCCACUUAAAUCCAAAUAGUAAAUGGACAGCAGAUUAAUGGAUGAUGAAUAUCAAGCUAUUUGGAUCUUGUCUUUUUCUUCUCCUUCCAGCACCAUCGGCCUUUGCAUGAAAUUUUACUUUCUUUUUUUUUUAACAUUUCUUUGAAAUUUUCUAAGGUCUUUAUUUUAUAAAAAGGAUUAUCAACUUAAAACAACUCAAAACUCAAAAGAUUUCUAUGGAUAUUCAUUAAUAUCCACUCAAAUGUUUUAGUGAUCCAAACCCAUUAAAAUGAGGUGGAUGUGGAUCAUUAAAUGGAUUCAGAUAUGCAUCCUACUUACAGGAAUAAUAAAAAAUUCAGCACUUAACAGUCAAUAACAUGAAUAUAUACUCUUAAAGUGCUAUAAAUUUUAAAGAAAGGUUGUAGCGUCACCUGUUUGAUUAACUCCUUGGCUCUCCAUCUUUGUGACGCGGGGCAAUCCUCUUCUGUUAGUUACAAAAGGAUAACAGGGGAGAGGAACAGAAAUGUUUUAUUUUUGAAAGGAACAAAAGUUUUGAAAGGAGCAGAAGUUCGAAUUGACAUCUACCUACUAUUAUUAUAUCAAGUGGCUCCCAUCUAUUUUGUUUGACAUGUGCCUUAUUACUCAUUUGAAAAAAAGUUAUCUUUCUUUUUUUUCCUUUUUCUUUUGGCUUUCUUUUUCCCCUCAUUUCCUCUUUUCUUUCAAGCAAGACAACCACAAGAAGCCUCAUCCUCAUCUAAACUAUCACUUGCACGUUCAAUUUUCACUCUGUACUCUUUUCAUUUUUUUCUCUUUUUUUCUUUCACCCUAAUCAUUUACUCUUGCUUUUUUUUUUAUUGAAUUAGUUUAUGCAUUUUUUUUUUCAAAAUUUUCAUAAUUAACUAAAUGAAUGAUUUUUGUUGUUAGAGUGGAUGAGGGAAGGUAGCAAUUUUUGUUGAGCGAAGAUAACAAUUUUUCCUCAACUUAUAUUCAUUCCAAUUUUAGUUUUCAUUUAUUAAAAUUGUUAUUUCAUAAUAGGCUGAUAGUGCUGGGAUGGAGGAGGAAGAAUUUGACAAGUAAAGAUCCAAGGUGAAUGAUGACUAGGAAGGAAAUAGAGAGGUCUGUUGAAUUUAAAAUUAAUCAAAAUCUCUUAUUUUAUAGAUAGACAAUUAUAUUUCCAUAUUUUGAUUCAUUUAAAGUUUCUUAAUGGCGAAAAAUGGUUAUUUACUAGAUGAGAAGGAUGAUAUGUAAAGGAAUUGUUGGGGCUAGCAAUAUUUUGUAUAAUCUCUUCAUUUUGGGUUACUGAGUUGUAUCCAUGAUAGAUGGUUUAUUUUCAUGGUAUGAUAGUUUGAGAAGAAAAGAAGUGUAAAAUUAGAUUUUAAAAUCAUUCGCUUAAGUUGGAUCUAUGGAUUUGUAUUUUUAUCAUUUUUAUUGUCCCGAAUGAUAAUAGAAGCUAGAUGUGGAACUAGAUAUAUCUUGACUAUUUGGCUAAAGGAGUUGAUAAAUUUUUAUAAACUCAAGUUGCUGAAUUGAUUGCUGUUGUUAAGGAAUUGCAAUUGGUGGUGUGAUACGAACCAAGAGACACCAUUGAGAACUAUUCGAGUUCCCCUAGGACCCGUGACUCGAGCACGAGCUAAGAAGAUGGGGGAGGAACUCCAAGGGCUUGUUCUUGAGAUACAAAGCCAAGAAAUUGUCCCCAAAAUCAUUGAGGGACUUGAGCAUGAAGGAAUGAAGGCCACCCAUGUGGCACACGUCAAAGAGAACCAUAUGUGACCCUUCCCUAGUCACAUUUGCUGUUUUAGUUAAGUCAUUGUAAUAAGGGCUUAAUGGUCUAUAGCCUUGCUUUAUUUACCUAAGGGAUGAUCUCAUAAGGUUUGGUCAAACCCACAGCAAAUGUGUAGUCUUAUGGAAAUAGUCAAGUCUACAAUUUUUAGUCUUAGUCAAGCCCACAAUUCUAGACUAGUUCCACAUUAUUUAGUUUUUCAUCUCUAUGUAAGGCUAUAAAUAGCUCACACUUCCAACGGUUUUAGGAUUCCAUCAAUAAAUCAGAUUUUGAGAGUUUUCUUGGUUUCUCCAAGGCUUCUUGAAUACCUUAGAAUUUCUCUAGGUGCUCGUGACUUAUCAAUCUAUAAUCGCACUAGAUUGUGGCGUCUUCUACCAUUAUACCAAGGUUCGUUAACCACGUGAUUAACGGGUUGAGGUCAUCCGCUCCAAACUUGGUGUCCUCUUGUCGAUCCUGAAGCUAAUCUUUUAAAGAUUUCGUCACAAGGUUGGCGACGUUCAUAUCAUGGUGGAAGUCAAAAUUGAAACUUUUUGCCUAGAGUGUGAUUCGACAAAAUUUUUUUUUUUAAAUUCAAUCUUGAUUAAGAAGACAUUUUUGCGAUCAAACAAAUGGUUGGUUUCGAAUUAGUACAUGUACAUUUGCAAACAUGGCAGUUUAUAUUUUUAUCUAAUAUCACUAUUUGUAUUCUCAAACUGUUUGGCAGAUAAUGUUAUCACUUGUUUGUAAUGCUAUUAAAAAGGAUUUAAAUGGAUGGAUUAAUAACUCUUUUUUUCUCUAAAAAAGACAAAAAAAAAAGUGUAGGUUUGUAUGUUUUGAAAAGGAUAGAAAAAUGUGCAAGUUUGUAUGUUUUAUUGAUGUUGAAAAUUGUGACAUAUCUUAGCGACUUUCUAAACUUUUUCUAAUUAUUAAAUUGUUAGACGUAUUAUGACUACUUUUGGUUUUUCCACAAUUAAAGCUAUACUACUAUUAAAUUAGCAAUGUAGUGUACUUAUUAUUUCUCCUUUGUUUGGUCUUAUUAUGCAUACAUAGUAUUGGUUUAAAAAUCUUUGUCCAAAUCACGAUAAAUAGGAGACUAACUUCAUAAACGGAAUUUCUCUUUAUAGCAAAUUAAUUGUUUUGUUGCUCAAAUUUUCUCCUAUAUUUACCGAAAAGAUUUAUUGCUUUAUGUUUAACUAAACUUCUAAGGGGUACAAAGCACGGCCAAGAUACCUCUGGUGUGAAACUACUUGAAGAUUUAUAGUUGCAAGAUAAGACAGGUGGCCAAGCUACACACCAUACAUUUGUAACACGCCGUUAGCUCUAUAUUUUUACAUGGGAUAAUUUCAGAAACCUCAAGGAGGUUUAUGACAAUUUCAACCAGCACUUUUAAGAUUUUUAAUAUUACAUUUAACUCCUUAACCCUAGAAAAUGGCCAUAAUAGUCUUAACAUUUUAAUAUUUUUUUCAUGCAAUUAAAUAAUUUACUCCUAAUCUUGUUCAUCUGAAUGCAUCACACAAUUAGAUAUUUAAUCGAAACAAAAAUAAAAUUCACUCAUGGAAUAAUCGAUUAUGUCCUAAACACAAUUAUAACAUAUUACAAAUUAAUUUUAGUUUUGCUUGGAGGAUCUGAAAAUAAAUAAAAGACAAUGUAAGUUGGGUUUAAAAAGGUUAGAACUGGUAUUGGUGCUCCAAGAUUUGAAGGAUAUAAUGCUGUAUUAACGCGGUUAUUAAAAUUCUUUGAGUUUAACAGUAUUUUUUUUUCAUUGAGCUUUGAGAAUUUGGGGAUUGCUGGUUGUAACGGUCAUGGUGAUAAUGGUACUAAUUUGAGAUAUAGUAAUAGGGAUAAUUUCAGAAACCUCCCCUGAGGUUUCUGACAGUCACAAGGACCUCCCCUGAAGUUUCGAAAAUCCCUUAUACCUCCCCUAAAACUAAGUAGAUAGUUUCAGGUCCAACCCAAUUGAGGUGGACAAUGAAUAUAAAAUUUCAAUGGAAUCUAGUUCCUUUGAAAUUGCAAUGGGUGUAUGUGAAACUGAUGGAAAAAGGUAAGGCUGUAUUGCAAGAAAUUGUCUUCUGCUUCAUGCCAACGGCUCUCAAAGCCGUUCUUUGUAACAGUAAUAAGAAACAGUAGUGUUGCUUUGGAGCUCUAUAUAAUUGCCUACUGAAGUUGCAAGAGAAAGCAGUGAAUGUUGUUGGGUUGUGGCUGAGGUUUCUGUAAAAGUGCUCAUACAAGUAGCAAAGUUGAACUACGUACAAACAGAUACACAUGGCUUCUUCAAGUCUGGUAGAUUCAUCAUGGAAUUCACCAACUUCAUUUUCAAUAAGAAAUAGAUAUUGCCAUUGUCAUCGGAAAGCAAAUAUUAAAAUUUUUUAGAGCAGGAGGAAUCCGAACAAGCUAUAUUUCUGCUGCUCAAAUUGCAAAUUCUUUCAGUGGUUCGAAGGACCUGAAGAAGGUGAAGUGAGCAGCCAAAGAACAGAUCAACGUUCAAGCAUGCAAAAGGAGGAUCAGAUACAGUUUGCCAAAGUAGAGCAGUCGAACUCCAUUGUGAAAUGGCUGCUUAUAAUGAACCUGUUAUUCAUAGCUAUUUACAUUUUGUUGUUGAUAUUUUUUCAGUGGUUCGAAGGGUCUGACGAUGGUCAAGUGAGCAUGCAAAGAGCAGGAGGACAUUCAAUCAUGCAAAGAGGUGAUCAAGUGCAGAAUUUAAAUGCUGUCAAGUUCAACUCCAUAAUGAAAUUGAUGCUUAUAAUGAACCUUGUAUUUUUAGCUGUCUAUGUUGUUAUGUUGACUGUAAAAGAUAUCAAAUGAGUAUUGAUUCAUAAUAAUAAAGAACCUGAUUCAUUAUCAUGUGCUUCCAAUUUUGCUUAUUGAAUACCACAUGACAGAUUAUACAAAAACACAGUGUACAAGUAAUAGUGCAAAUGGAACUUCAGUUUCUGUUGAGAAACAUUUUGAGUGUACAGCAGCCAAAUGUUUCCACUCAUGCAUCCAGGUUGAUACAAAAAGAUAAAUUUGUCCAAAACAUCAGAUAACUAAUGUUCAGAUACCAAAAUUAGAUAAUCAAGACAUCAGAUAUUGCCAUUUCUCCAAUGUCGACAAGUAAUGAUCAAAUAUUCAUGUCCUCUGAUAUCCAAAUAACAAAAGACUCUUAAUAGAUUCUACUAAAAGGUGAAGCUGCUACUGACAUUGUGAGAAUCAUGAGAAACUGAAGCAUUGAUGUUGACAUCAGUUUGUACUUGGGCACUUCCACUGGGAUGCAGUGCAAUAGUAUGCAUUCCUGCAAAUGGUUGAGGUGCUGCUGUUGAAGUUUUCCUUUUGGGGUUAUAUACAACAGAUGGAGCAGAUUUGUUGGAAGGUCGUCCUCUCUGAAAUUGCAGAUGAAGCAUGUAUUAAUAUACUGGCAUGUAAAUAAGCAUUAAAAGUGCAGCUAUCUCUGAGAAAGGAUUAAGGAACAAAUACCUUUCUCUUAGUAGCAUUGGUUGCUGUUUGCAAAUUCAAGUCAGCAUUCAUUAAUGGUGAUUGAGUUGAUGGACUUGGGUUGCUGCCUUGACUAGAAACGACAAUAGGCACAUUGCCAUUAGCAUGAUCCUGCAUAAAUCAAUGGCAAGCAUUACCUCAUCAGACAACAGCAACAUAAGAAAAGUCUGUUUCUAAAUCUAAAAGAAUUGUAACGCAUAGAACAGAUCCUGCAAGCCCUGUAUUUGCAAUUCCCCUUCCUGGCUUUCCUCUAGCAAAUUGAGUCCCCUGACAUGGAAAUUAAUAACAAAUUACAAGCUCGCUUAGCAAUUUCAAGUCCCUCAAUUAAACCACUAGAUUGAACCUUGUUUGUGCUGGUGCUUGUACUCCUUUGUCUCACAGGUGCUCUUUGACAUGUUCUAGUAUUAUGUCCAGUAGCUUUGCAGUUGCCACAUCUCAUAGUGGUUAACCUUUUUGCUUGAGAUUGGCUUGGCUCAUCAGGCCCUCUCCUUCUGUUAACUCUUGGACGACCUGGAGCUCUUCUCAAUGGUGGUGGAAGGACAGUUUUUGGUGUGACAUCAAUUAAUGGAGGCCAUCUCUUCUCGUGAGGAAUUGGAUGUAUCAUGCCACUGUAUGUCUUGAGAUACAUUUCUGUUGAGAAGCAAGGAUCACAGUAUGUCUCCAACUUCUGUCUUCUGUAUACAAUUCCAAGUGCAGCAUGCUUACGUGGGAGUCCAGACAAUUGGAAAGCUCCACAGUCACAUGUCUUCUGGUUCAAACUCACUAUAAAUAUUCUGUCACCAUCAGUAACUUCAAAAAAAUUCUCACUGGCCAUCUGCAAUGAACAUCUCCUAGAAUGUAUUGCAAUUUCCUUGAGCUUUUCUAUGAUAUUUUUUGGAUAGCAGACGUCCAUGUGCAAGCCUUCUGGUACCUUUUGUGUAAUUUCUUCAUAAUUUUUGUCCUCAGUCCUUCAACAAGUGUAAGUAUUGGUUGGCACCUUAAGUCUCCAAUCCAAGCAUUGAAAGAUUCCGUGAAAUUGUUUGUAACAUGGUCACAUUUCAUAUCUAUUGAGAAAGCAUGUCUAGCCCAAGCUGAAACUGGAAUCUUGGAUAAGUACCUCCAUGCUUCUAUAUUCAUGUCCUUGAUUCUUUGCAUUGCUUCAGUAAAUCCAAUUGCAUCAUAACUCUUAGCAGCUUGCCAAAAGAAGGUACUCAGUAACACUCCAGGGAAUUGAGACUUGAAGUUCAUACAAAUAUGUCUGCAACAGUAUCUUCCAAUUGCAGAUGGCAGCAGCUGUUCAUAUGCAAUGUUCAGCCCCUACAUCAAAAGCAAAAAAUCAGUCAACCUUUUUUACCAUAUCUACAUAGCAGGUUGUCCAAGUUUGGCGAAGUAAAGUAUUUAGUAAUAUAUUUUGUCUGUCACUCAUGAUAGUUAAGGGACAGUUGUUAUCGAAUGGUCCAAAGAAUUCUUCAAAGAAAUGAAAGAACCAACUCCAAGUCUCUUUGUUUUCUACCUCAACAAUAGCAAAAGCAAUGGGAAAUAUGCUGUUAUUACCAUCCAAUGCAACAGCAGCCAGCAAUACUCCACUAAAACUACCUUUCAAAUGACAUCCAUCAAAUCCAACAAAGGAUCUACAACCACCUAAAAAUCCAUCUUUCUGACCUUUAAAGCUAAUAAAAAGUCUCAGGAACCUUGGUUCAACUAGUAGAUUUGGUCUGUCAUAAUGAAUCUUACAAACACUACCAGGAUUAUAUUGCCUAAGAAGCACAACAUAUUUGGGCAGUUUACUAUAUGAUUCUGAAUGUGUGCCUUCAAUCUCUUCUCUUGCCUUUUGUUUGGCUCUAUACACUUGCUGUUUGCUAGGAUGCACACCAUAUUUUAGCAUCUUAGCUUCAAUGCUCUUUCUUGACAAGUUAGGAUGAGUUCUCAUCACAGUUAUCAAUUUUUUGGCCAUCCAGUCAGAGGUGGCCUCAUGAUUUUUAUUAUCCAUCACACAUGUGUGUUCAGGUGUGUAUGUUUUAAUCAUAAAUGUUACUGAAUCAGCUAUAGGGGACGCAUGAAUCCUCCAUGUACAUCCAGCAACAUCACAGAUUGCAGUACUCCUGGUUUUCUCAUUCGUCAGCCUUUUGAUGGGAAAUCCUUUUUGGAUCACAUAAUCCUUCAGUGCUGCUCUAAAGGCAUCAACAUUAGUGAAUGGCUGUCCCUUCUUGAAUUCUAUGUCCUCUCUUGGAUUGUAAGUCCACAUCUUGUUUCUUAGCACUUCUCUUAAAGGGUCCAUUUCUUGCUCAGAUUCAAAAUCUGGUACAAUUAGAUCACCAGUUUCAUUAUCAUCCAAGUUUUGGAAACUUUCAUCACUGCUAGAAUUCUCAGACAGAACCAUUAGCUCAUCACCUAUAUCAUCUUCAUUGUCAUCAUCAAAUCCUUGCUUCCAUGAUUCAUCAGAGCUCGAUUCACCCCCAUACCCCUCAUCCUGGAAGUCAAUAACAUGAACAUUCUGCUCAUCAGCAGCCAAGGCGGAAUGUUUGUUCUGAAUUUCUAUGUGCUCACUCUCACCAUCAAUCUUUCUGUUCAACAACAUGACAGGUUGUUCAGCUGGGAUAAUGUCCAUGUUGAACACCUCUAUAUUUAUGAAUGGUUCAUCUUCAUACACACUGAACAUAUCAUGGACAGCUUCAUCAUCAUUCACAUUAAUGUAAGCUUCUGUUCCAGGUAUUGCACAUCUUAUAUGUACAAGAAGAUUAAUAUUUCCAGGCAGUUCAUGUAAUGCCCUCUCAGCAACAUCAUUCAGCAGAUUAAUGAAAGAGUAUUUUUCAGGAUUUAUAUUGGAAAUUCAAACUUUUGUCCCUCCACAAUGGAGUACAAUGUCAUGCACAUCACCAGUCACCAUCCUACAACAUCAGAUAUCACCAUUUAUGAACUUCAAUGUAUACAAACAUACAAUACUAUGAUAGAGUAACUCCCUAGACCUCAUGCAAACCACUUUGUAUGAUUCAUAUAAACAGCAUCAUCACAUAUGGAUGAAUACACAUUCUAGUUUAUAACUAUUAUAACCAGAAAUAAUGAAAACAUUGUCAGGUGAUCAUAUUAAUAACAAAAGCAGAAACGCAGAGCUAAUGUAGGAAAAUAAGAAGACAUGCCCAGUUUCCACACGGUCAGUAACCUUCAUCAGCCAUAAGCUACGUAGUAUCUAACCUUGCUUUGCUUUAGAUGCUCUUAGAACACCAACAGUUCACCCUUUGCAGCAAUACUUCAGCUCAAUUUCCAGAACUCAAUUUCUUCAACUCUCCCAUUUUCUCCUGGAGCUCUCAAAUGCUCUUCUCAUGAUCAGUAUGGCUCAAGAAAGUCUAUUCCUUACCAAAAUUAACGUUCAGUCAGCUACCAUUGUCACAUCAACAACCAAAUGGGCGCCCAUUUUUAGCGCCUUUUCUCUUAGCCGAAAUUAGCAAUUCAAUUUAUUAUCAAAUUCUAGUUAAGUUACUUAAUCCUUUCUAUUACUCAUUUCACUAAUUAAUUCAUGUUAUUAUCAGAAUUUAUUACUUCAACAGCAGGGAUAUUUGUGUCAAUUCAACGUCUUUCAAGUUAUUUUGGAACCCAAAAAUCUGACAGGGGAGGUAUAAGGGAUUUUCGGAACUUCAGGGGAGGUCCUUGAGACUGUCAGAAACCUCAGGGGAGGUUUUUGAAAUUAUCCCAUGGUAAUAUGAACACUGUUUUAUAGUAAAGAUGAGGGAUAAAAAUGAGUUUGAGAUUUUAUGCAUGUUUUAUAGUUUUUAAUAAUUUUAUAAGAAGGCGAAAUAAAUUUCACAAUUUCAUAAGGGCAUUUUGGAUUAUUCAUUCAAAAUUUUGGCCAUUAAAUAUUUUUGUUACCAAAAUGGUAAAUUCAAGGGAAGCAUGUGCAAUUUUUCAAAUUUUAAGGGAAAUAGAUGAAAUUUAAAAAAAGAAAAACCUCAAGAGAGGUACCCCAUUUUCUUAUGCAACUACUUGCAUAUGGGUCCCCACUUGGUACGCAAUGGAUCUUCUAUCCCACUCUCCGUACCACCUUCUAUCUCAAUUUUUAUUAUAUUAUUAUUUUUCUUUUAUAAAUAUCAUGUUUUAGUUUUUUUUUUUCUUAAAAUCUAAUAACAAUUAAUCGAACAAAAAAUAAAUACAAUAGUCUAAAAAAAAGAAAUAUAAAAUCAAAAAUUAAAUUUUAGCAAAAAAUUUUUAAAAAUUCAUUUUUUGAUUAAUACAAAAAAUUUAACAAACUAAAAAAACUACAUAAAAAAUGAGAUUUUUUAAUGAAUUUUCUACUUAUUUUCUAAUUUUUUAUUUUAUAUUAUUUUUUUGAAACUGUUGUAUUUAUUUUUUACUCGAUUAACAGUUAUUAGAUUUUAAGGAAACAAAGAACUAAAACAUAAUGUUUAUGAAGGAGAAAUAACAAUAUAAUAAAAGUGGAACAGAGAACGGCACAAGGAAUGAAAUAGAAAAUCCGUUGCACCCUUGAUGUCAAGUUUGAAUCCAUCAAAUGCAAAUAGAAAUUUGUAGCCAAUUGAUAUAAUUACGUCUAUUUAGCUUGUAAUGAAGGUUGCCUUAGAAAAAAAAAAUACUAAUCCAUAUGGAAGGUGUGUUUUUUUUAGUGGUUGUAUAAAAUUUUACUAUAACUUACCAUAGAAUCGAUGGACAAAAAGUUUUGUAUAUUUAAGGGUUUGGGAAAAAUUUUAAAAACUUUCUUUUUUUAAAAAUUUCUUUUCCUUUUCCUUCUAUUUUUCAUUUUUUUUCCCCUCCUUCCUUUCCUCUCUUCUUCUUCUCUUCCUUUGCUCACAUAGCAACAUCUAUGGAGUUUCUGGCAGCGGUGCCAUUGCUAGCUGCCUUCUCCAUUGACCAAAAUUUCACCCUCCACUUCGUUUUUCGCAUAGAUUUCAUUUCCGGUAUUAGUUUUUAGAAAACACAAAUAAAAAUUAAUCAAAACUUGUAGAACAACUGGUAGACAAAGUUUUUAUCCCCCUUUUCUCCCUCCCUCUUCCACCUUCUCUUCCUUCCCUCCAUCUCCUCUCCCGUGACACUCCCUCCCUUACCCCGAUUUGGUCCAGAUCUGGACAGGCAAAGGAGGGUUGCGAGAGAAAGAGAGAAGGGAGGGAGGAAGGAGAAGAAGAAAAAAGGAAGAUGGGAGGAGGGAAGAAAAAGAGGGGGAAAGGGUGGUGGUAGAUUGAGGAAUGGAGAGAAAAAAAUAAGUAAAAAGGGAAAUUUGAUAUUUGAGGUUUUGAUAUUUGAGGUGUAUAUUUUAAAAAUUCUAAAGAGUUUUUUAAAAUUUUUAUAAUUAAAAUUAUUUAAAAACUUAUAGAAGAUAAAUUAGGCAAAAAACUUGCCUCCCAAAAGAUUAUUCUAUCAAGACUUCGGUACUGCAGAAUGAUUUUUGUACUUAGGAAUGACGUAGAUACUUAAAUUAAUUAACAAAAAUUCUAAAAGAUUGUUAUAGCAGUUUGUGCCAAUGGAGUGGUAAAGUGGUAUGAUGUGGUACGGAUGAGUUGGGAGUAAAAGCCCACGUUAGGACAACGAAACUGUAAGGACUGCUGUGAUGCUGCGGUCCACAUUGAAAGCAGCCAUGACAACCUGUCGGUGGAGGGGGACCCAAGCGAGAGGACUUGAAGAAGACUUUUUUGUGAGUCACAUCGUGAACUCGAGAAACAAAAUGUAACAAAAACAAUUGAUCGGCGUCGUACAAGGUAUAAUUAUCGAGAGAAUUAACGAGGGAUAUUAAUCUGUACAACUACUUCCACCUACAUUUCGCCCACCAAUGUUGGUGAAAAUUUUUUACUAUUAUACAAAACUGAGUUACAAUCAAAGUGAAAUUUGAAUUUCAACGGCAUGAAUAGAGAUUUUUUGAAAAUAUGGAAUGUUAUGUAGUUUUUUUUUUUUUUUUAAUUUUGAUACAACUGAAAGCAACAUAUAUUUAGGUAUAUUUAUGAAAAAUGCCCUCAUUUUGGUACAUUUAAAGAUUCGAUUUAUGGAUACAUAUAAGUAUUUCUGGAAUAUAAAAUUAGUUUUCAAUCUUUUUACAUCAAGUACAACUCUUAUAAACUUAUAUGUUGAUGUAAUUACUGAAAUGGUGUUAUAGACACAGUUAAUUGACGGAAAUAUAUUUUUGUGAUCGACGGAAAAAAUUGGACACAGUUUUAAAAUAUAUUUUUGUAAUCGACGGAAAAAAUUGAAGUAGAGCAUAAAUUUGCUCAUGGAUUAUUAUUUGCAGUUGGUUUGAAUAGAAAGAAAGAACAUUAUGAUUGUAGGUAGGAAAAAAAUCAAAAUAUGUAAAAGAAUAUGCUUGCAAAUUAUAAUUUAUAGUUUUUGUAGAUAGAAAUAAAGAACUAAGAAUUCUCAAAUUUGAUUCCUAUGAUUCCACAUAAGAUCCUAAGAUCGUAAAUCAUUUAGAGGAAAUUUAGAUCCUUUAUACGAUCCGAAUUGUUUACCUGAAGUGGUAUAUCGGAUCGUAAGAUCCAUGAUUCGGAUCGCCAUACCUUAGCUUCAAUGCGGAUCUGAAAUUUGUGGCAGCAAUUGUGCAGGCGACAAAGAAGGGCCACAAUAAUGCUGCUUUUGGAAGACUGUGAGUAGGUUUGGGCGAAAAGAUACUUUCAUAUUGCCACUUCUACCCCCAUCAUCGAACUCAUAGCCCACUGGAAUGAAAGCUACAAGUUGGCAGUUGCAUUGGGGAAAUUGAAAAGAGAAAAAAAAAUUAGAGAAUACAGAUUGAAGUAUUGGUCGAUUACUGCAGCUUAUCAUCUACUAUUCAUAACGGAUGAAGGAUGUAGAUCUAGUUUGCUGAUUUGAAAUCAACGUUGUAAAAUGUUGUUAGAAAAGCUAAAGUAAAUUAAAAUUAUUGCCAUGAGAGUACAAAUUCAGUUGUGUUCCACAGAGUUAAUAAUAUCACGCAAAGAGUUUUCCAGUUACCAACAUUAUUGCUCCUCUUCAACUGCAUUUUGUUCAAACAUCAAAACCGUGCAGACCUUAGGCCUUAUCCUUAUUUCCUUUAAUCAUUUCUCGUGCAAACCUAAAAUAGUUCGAUCUUGCUUACUCUUGGAAUUCUAAAGUUUGAUUUUUGGUUUGGAAAGUAAUUGUGCAUAAUCAUAACACUGUACGUGUUCCUGAAGGCGGUGGAGUUCCACAAUCAACAACGAUAAAUUGGAUUUUCAAAAUUUUACUUUCGUGAAAGAAAUUGUUAUAAAUCAGGGAAUUUGGGUCAAGUUUGGUUUAUAGUAGUAUAUUUAGGCUCUGCAUGAGUUAAUAGAGGUGUCGACUACAACCCAAUUAUAUUGAUCCGUCCAAAUUUGCCCACUAAUAAUCAGCUCAAAUCCGCCCAUUAACUUUAAAUGAGUCUAAAUGUUUACCCAAUUAAACACAUUUAUCUGGUGGGUAGUGGAUUGAUUCAACUCACCCAUUUUUAUCGAUUUAAAAAUAAUUAUACAUUUAAAUUCAAUUUUAGUAAGUGUUAAGGGGAUAAAUUUGAAUUUCCUACCAGUCUAAUAAUAAUAAAAUACUGUUAUUUCUUGUUAAACACAUGAGACAAAAUUUUUUAAAAAAAAAGUAGAAUUUCAAAUGAGCCAUAAGUGGAUAAUUGAGUAUACCUAUACUCAUUUAUUUAAAUGGAUAUAAAUAGGUACCCAUUAAAAUAAAUGAGUGUAAAUUGAUUGACCCAAUUAUUAAACCUAUUCCUAAUUAUGACCCGUCCAAAUCCGACCAUGUCAUCCACUUUAACACCUCUAUAACUUAAUGAACAUUUUAAUUAUUUUGUACAAAAAAAAAAUAUAAUCUUGACACCUAAUGCGUAAUUUGUAUUUGUGAACUUUCUCUAUCAAAUGCUAUUCCUUUGUGUACGAGGCAUAAAUUUUCACAAGCCAGACAUAACAAUUAAAAAAAAAAAAGCUUUAAAGUAGAUAACAUUCAAAUUUUCAUAUAAACUAUGGAUAACUAUAUAUCAGUUGCCUUUAUAUAAGUUAAUUAGAGGAAAGCAUUUUUUUUUCUUUGAAUAUUGGUCAAAAUAAUAAUCUGACUACAUAGCAUGUUGCGCAAAAAUUUUUAUCAUAUAGUUCCCUACGUGCAAGUAAAAGAGGACGUAGCAAUGCCAUCUGUAACUCCUCAAGUAUCUAAUUAUCAAUUAUAAUCAUCAAACGGAUUUUUUAUUUUGAAUGUUUGGCUGUAACAGUUUCUCCUUGCAAUAUUAACAUUAAAUAGAAAGAAUUAAAACUCAAUCACUAGUUCACAGGCUUAAAGAAAUUUAUGCUUAGAAAUGAAAAGGAUGAUAACAUAUGACCUCCUUUCUUCUCCUCCUUAUUUUAUUUUUGUUUUUAUUUUUUAUUUUUUAUUUUUUUGCAAAGGAUUUGCUACUGCUAUAAUAUUGCAAUUUCACACCUUUUCCCACUUUCUUUUACAUUAUAUAGAUUUUCGCAGACAGUCAUCAAAAUCUUAAAUACGAAAUAUAACCAUUAAUACACCAUCAUCCUGAUAAAAUAGCUUUAUUCAAGUGGUUGAUUUCCUUACAAAUACAAAUUUUCACUAGAAAUCUAGUUAAUUAGCUAUAAAAAUAGCUAAAACAUACAAAAAUUAAAUAAUAAAACACACAAAAUACACACUUAUCAAACAUUAAAACAUCAAAUUGAAACAAAAAUUUAAAAUAAAAAAAAAAAAGCACGAUCAGCGGUUCAUGCAUGUAAGAGGAAUUGGUGUUGCAUUCCUCUCUAGUUUGAUUAGAUUAAGGAUAGUAUAUAUCCAAACCAGCCCCUUGAAAUUUCUUGCGAGCGAUUUCAUCGAGACGUUCCUUCAUUUCUGGUGUCAAGUGAUUUUUCCAAUCCCCAACAACACCACGCCGGAAGAAGGAACUCCUAGGCAGCCCACUGUCUGCACGUCCUUCCUUGUUUACCUGCAUACCUUUGAGCCUUUCAAGACUGCAUCUCGAUAUAAUCCUAUCAACCUCAUCGUCAUUAAUAAAAGGGCGACCAAGAAAUGAAGCCAGCUUAGUCACUUCACCUCUAGGGUUCAUUUUCAUAUCCUCAUACCUCAGAAAGAGUAUCUUAUCAGGCCUGGCUAAGCUUUCUUUCCAGUAGCCAAGAACAUGAUCAUGGAAAGGUCCAAAGAGGUGAACUCCUUUACAGAAACUAUCAAAGGCAUCUUCCAUAGGAUAUGGUUCCUCCUCGGGCUUCUUAGCUGCAUUGACGAAGUACCAUAGUGACACCAGUACAUCUUUGGGAUCUCGAGCAAUGUAUACAAUCUUACAGCCUGAGUUUUUAACAGAUUCAGGCAACAUUGAAUAAGGUACAUGAGUUUGAUAUAAUCUUGGUUGAGCUUUUAAAUUUGGGUUUUCUGAUGCUCUUAAUGGGUUGAAGAUUUCCAUCUCCAAACAUGGAAUCAAGUCGUGGGGAAAAUUUUCUUCCAAAAGGUCAUACUGAUCCUUGGCAUCAUUGAUAUUGUUGAAAGUCCGAGCAGGAUGACCGUCCAUAAUGGAGACCAUAAGAGAUUUAAGCCAGGUAGUUCCUGAUUUUGGUGGAGAUGAAAGCAGAAAAUCAUUGUCUUGAGCCUGAAAAUUUGAUUUAGCAGCUUUGGCUCCUUCCAGCCAUUCAAGUGUGUACCAAAAGCCACCGUACUUAUAAAGAUCAUAAAUACCCCACCAUUUUUCCACCUUUGGAAGUUCAUCUUUUGCAUGGCCUGGAGACAAGGUCGAUGAUGUAAUUUGGUUUUUGAACUCAUCUGUUACCAAAUGCAAGAGAUACCGGUGAAUUUUUCACAAUUAGACUAAUGACACAUUUAGCUUGAUUUUAUCAACCACUCCAAGCCAUGUGUCUGGAGCUUUCCAAAAGGGGUCAUAUGGAUUAUUAAUGGUCCAUAUUUGUGAUUCAUCACUUAAGUGAUUCAACCCACUUAAAUCCAAAUAGUAAAUGGACUGCAGAUUAAUGGAUGAUGAAUAUCAAGCUAUUUGGAUCUUGUCUUUUUCUUCUCCUUCCACCACCAUCGGCUUUUGCAUGAAAUUUUACUUUCUUUUUUUUUUAACAUUUCUUUGAAAUUUUCUAAGGUCUUUAUUUUAUAAAAAGGAUUAUCAACUUAAAACAACUCAAAACUCAAAAGAUUUCUGUGGAUAUUCAUUAAUAUCCACUCAAAUGUUUUAGUGAUCCAAACCCAUUAAAAUGAGGUGGAUGUGGAUCAUUAAAUGGAUUCAGAUAUGCAUCCUACUUACAGGAAUAAUAAAAAAUUCAGCACUUAACAGUCAAUAACAUGAAUAUAUACUCUUAAAGUGCUAUAAAUUUUAAAGAAAGGUUGUAACGUCACCUGUUUGAUUAACUCCUUGGCUCUCCAUCUUUGUGACGCGGGGCAAUCCUCUUCUGUUAGUUACAAAAGGAUAACAGGGGAGAGGAACAGAAAUGUUUUAUUUUUGAAAGGAACAAAAGUUUUGAAAGGAGCAGAAGUUCGAAUUGACAUCUACCUACUAUUAUUAUAUCAAGUGGCUCCCAUCCCAUCUAUUUUGACAUGUGCCUUAUUACUCAUUUGAAAAAAAGUUAUCUUUAUUUUUUUUUCUAUUUCUUUUGGCUUUCUUUUUCCCCUCAUUUCCUCUUUUCUUUCAAGCAAGACAACCACAAAAAGCCUCAUCCUCAUCUAAACUAUCACUUGCACGUUCAAUUUUAGUUUUCAUUUAUUAAAAUUUUUAUUUGGUAAGAGGCUGAUAGUGCUGGGAUGGAGGAGGAAGAGUUUGACAAGUGAAGAUCCAAGGUGAAUGAUGACUAGAAACGGAAUAGAGAGGUCUGUUGAAUUUAAAAUUAAUCAAAAUCUCUUAUUUUAUAGAUAAACAAUUAUAUUUUCAUAUUUUGAUUUAUUUAAAGUUUCUUAAUAGCAAAAAAUGGUUAUUUACUAGAUGAGAAGGAUGAUAUGUAAAGGAGUUACUGAGUUGGGGCUAGCAAUUUAGGAUGUGAAUAAAAUAUUUCGUAUAAUCUCUUCAUUUUGGGUUACUGAGUUGUAUCUAUGAUAGGUGGUUUAUUUUUCAUGGUAUGAUAGUUUGAGAAGAAAAGAAGUGUAAAAUUAGAUUUUAAAAUCAUUUGCUUAAGUUGGUUCUAUGAAUUUGUAUUUUUAUCAUUUUUAUUGUCCCUAAUGAUAAUAUAAGCUAGAUGUGGAAUUGGAUAUAUCAUGACUAUUUGGCUAAAGGAGUUGAUAAAUUUUUAUAAACUCAAGUUGUUGAAUUGAUUGCUAUUGUUAGGGAAUUGCAAUUGGUGGUGGAAGUCAAAAUUGAAACUUUUAGCCUAGAGUGUGAUUCGACAAAAAAAUUGUUAAAAAAUUCAAUCUUGAUUAAGAAGACAUUUUUGCGAUCAAACAAAUGGUUGGUUUCGAAUUUAUACAUGUACAUUUGCAUUCAUAUUUUUAUCUAAUAUCACUAUUUGUAUUCUCAAGCUGUUUGGCAGAUAAUAUUAUCACUUGUUUGUAAUGCUAUUAAAAAGGAUUUAAAUGGAUGGAUUAAUAACUUAUUUUUUCUCUGAAAAAAAACAACAUAUAGGUUUGUAUGUUUUGAAAAGGAUAGAAAAAUGUUCAAAUUUGUAUGUUUUAUCGAUGUUGAACAUUGUGACAUAUCUUGGUGACUUUCUUAGUGUAUGUUUGGAUCAUUCAGUUUUUCAAAAACUAGUUUUUUAAAUACUAUAAAAUUUUUUUAAAAGUACUUUAAAAAAUAGCAUAAAUUUUUUUAAUGUUUAAAAAAUAUCCCAAAAUAUAUUUUAAAAACUCUACUACUCUUAAAUAAUCCAUAAUAUUUUCUAAACAUAUCCCAAAAUAUGCUCUAAAAACUCUGGUAUAGUAAAAUUUUUCAAAAACAUCCCCAAAAACUGCUAGAGGUAUUAUGACUACUUUUGGUUUUUUCACAAUUAAAGCUAUACUACUAUUAAAUUGGCAAUGUAGUGUACUUAUUAUUUCUCCUUUUUUUGGUAUUAUUAUGCACACAUAGUAUUGGUUCAAAAAUCUUUGUCCAAAUCACGAUAAAUAGGGGACUAACUUCAUAAACAGAAUUUCUCUUUAUAGCAAUUUUUAAUUGUUUUGAUGCUCAAAUUUUCUCCUAUAUUUACCGAAAAGAUUUAUUGCCCUGUGUUUAACUAAACUUCUAAGGGCACAAAGCACGGGCAAGAUACCUCUGGUGUGAAACUACUUGAAGAUUUAGAGUUGCAAGAUAAGACAGGUGGCCAAGCUACACACCAUACAUUUGUAACAAGCAAGAUAGGAGGUUUUUGACAAUUUCACCCAGCACUUUUAAGACUUUUAAUAUUACAUUUAACUCCCUUAACCCUAGAAAAUGAUCAUAAUAGUCUUAAUAUUUUAAUAUUUUUUCAUGCAAUUAAAUAAUUUACUCCUAAUCUUGUUCAUCUGAAUGCAUCACACAAUUAGAUAUUUAAUCGAAACAAAAAUAAAAUUCACUCAUGGAAUAAUCGAUUAUGUCCUAAACACAAUUAUAACAUAUUACAAAUUAAUUUUAGUUUUGCUUGGAGGAUCUGAAAAUAAAUAAAAGACGAUGUAAGUUUGGUUUAAAAAGGUUAGGAUUGGUAUUGGUGCUCCAAGAUUUGAAGGAUAUAAUAUUGUAUUAACGCGGUUAUUGAAAUUCUUUGAGUUUAACAGUGUUUUUUUAUUUUAAUUUUGAUUGAGGUUUGAGGAUUUGGGGAUUGGUGGUUGUAACGGUCAUGGUGAUAAUGGUACUAAUUUGAGAUGUAGUAAUAUGAAAGGUUUAAAAUAGUAAAUAUGAGGGUGAAAAAUGAGUUUAAGAUUUUAUGCAUGUUUUAUAGUUUUUAAUAAUUUUAUAAGAAGGUAAAACGAAUUUCACAAUUUCAUAAGGGCAUUUUGGAUUAUUCAUUCAAAAUUUUGGCCAUUAAAUAGUUUUUGUUACCAAAAUGGUAAAUUCAGGGGAAGCAUGUGCAAUUUUUCAAAUUUUAAGGAAAAUAGAUGAAAUUUUUUAAAAAAAAACCUCAAGAGAGGUUUGUGAAAUUACCCCAUUUUCUUAUGCAACUACUUGAAUGUGGGUCCCCACUUGCUACGCAACGGAUCUUCUAUCCUACUCUCCGUACCACCUCCUAUCUCAAUUUUUAUUAUAUUACUAUUUCUCUUUCAUAAAUAUCAUGUUUUAGUUCUUUUUUGUUUUCUUAAAAUCUAACAACAAUUAACCGAAUAAAAAAUAAAUACAACAGUCUUAAAAAAGCAAUAUAAAAUAAAAAAUUAAAUUUAAGCAAAAAAUUUUUAAAAAUCCAUUUUUUGAUUAAUAAAAAAAAUUUAACAAACUCAAAAAAUAAAAUAUACAUAAAAAAUGAGAUUUUUUAAUGAAUUUUCUACUUAUUUUCUAAUUUUUGAUUUUAUAUUAUUUUUUUGAGACUGUUGUAUUUAUUUUUUACUUAGUUAAUAGUUAUUAGAUUUUGAGAAAAUAAAAAAGAACUAAAAUAUAAUGUUUAUAAAAAAAAUAACAAUAUAAUAAAAAGUGAAACGAGAACGGCAAAAGAAAUAAGAUAGAAGAUCGGUUGCAAAGGGUACUAUCCCACUUGCCUUCCAAAAUAUGAUUCUAUGAAGACUUCGGUACUGCAGAAUUAUUUUUGUCCUUAGGAAUGACGUAGAUACUUAAAUUAACAAAAAUUCUUAAGAUUUUUUGUUUUUUUGGUCAGCAACGAUACAUUUGUAUAACCUAUUCUAUCCUAAUCUAGGGAAAAAGGGAGCCUAAGGAGGCUGUUGUGAGGGCUAGUGGGCAUACAGAUCCAACUAAAUUAAGGGAGUACUAUGACACAAUCUUUAAAUUUUUUUCACUGCUGGUAAGGAUUGAACCCUCGCUGACAACCCAAGGAGGGACCUACUGGCCAGUGGUUAACAAAAAUUCUAAAGAUUGGUAUAGCGGUUUGCGCCAAUGGAGUGGUAAAUUGGCAUGAUGGGGUACGGAUGAGCUGGGAGUAAAAACAUGCUGGGAACGAAAGUACGAAACUGAAAGGAUUGCCGUGAUGCUGGGCUCCGCAUUGAAAGCAGCCAUGACAAUCUGUCGGUGGAGGGGGACCCAAGCGAAAGGACUUGAAGAAGACAUUUUUUUUGUGAGUUAUUUCGCGAACUCGAGAAACAAAGGGUCCGUUUGGAUUCCUUAUUUCUAUCUCUAUUUUUGAAAAAUUAUUUUUUAUAUUCCAAAUAUUACAAUAAAUGUAUACAAGGUAUAAUUAUUGAGAGAUUUAAUGAGGGAUAUUAAUCUGUACAACUACUUCCACCUAGAUUUCACCCACCAAUGUUGGUGGAAAUUCCUUAUACUAUAUAAAAUUGAGUUAUAAUCAAAGUGAAGUUUAAAUUUCAACAGCAUGAAUAGGGGCUUUUUGAAAAUGUCAUGUAGUUUUUUUAAAAAUUUUGGUUCCUUAUACUAUAUAAAAAUAAGUUAUAAUCAAAGUGGAAUUUGAAUUUCAACGGCAUGAAUAGAGAUUUUUUUUGAAAAUAUGGAAUGUUAUGUAGUUCUUUUAAAACUUUUGGUACAACUGAGAGCAGCAUGUAUUUAGGUGUAUUUAUCGAAAUGCCCUCAUUUUGCUACAUUUAAAGAUUUGAUUUAUGGAUACAUAUAAGUAUUUCUGAAAUAUGAAAUUAUUUUUUAAUCUUUUUGCAUCGAGUACAGCUCAUAUAAGCUUAUAUGUUGAUGUAAUUACUGAAAUAGUGUUAUAGACACAUUUAAUUGAAAUAUGGUUUUUGUUGUGCAAUUAACACAAAGACAUAUUAACACAUUGUGCAAUUAACACAUUGGUAUAACUAGCGUUGGAGGGUAACAACUUAUAUCUUCUAUUGGGCGAUUUUCAACUGACAUCUGCAAGGGACUUUUGGUGAUGGUAAAAUUGUAAAAGUAUUGAUAAAACAAAGUGUACAAGUAUGUGUUGCAAUUGGAAUGUACUAUUAUUAAUUUUGUUAUAUUUGAUGACUAUUUCUUUUCAGAAUGUACUAUUAUUUGUCUAAUGAAAAAUCUUUUUUAACUACGGCAUCAAUACACGGGCACUCCCCCUAGUAAUAUUCAAGGUAAUUAAUCAAGAUGGAUGGAUUUGUAUGAAAUAAUUGUAAAAUGAGCAAACAAAUCAAGCAAAAAAUUUGUGAAUAGUGGAAAGACAACACUCGAGAGGAAGAAGGCGCAAGUAAAUAGAGGUGAAGGGGCAGCUGCUGCGUGGAUAAGGUAAUAUGUUGUGUAACUAUGAUCAAUUAUUGGACAUAGUUUUAAAAUAUAUAUUUUUAAUACAGGGAAAAAAUUGAAAUGCGGAAUAAAUUUGCUCCUGGAUUAUUGUUUGUAGUUGGUUUGAAUAGAAAGAAAGAACAUUUUGAUUGUAGGUAGGAAAAAAUCAAAAUAUGUAAGAGAAUAUGCUUUCGAAUUAUAAUUUGUAGUUCUUGUGGAUAGAAAUAAAGAACUGAGAAUUCUCAAAUUUGAUUCCUAUCAUGAUCCUAUGAUUCAACAUAAGAUCCUAAAUCACUUAGAGUAAAUUUAGAUCCUAUAUACAAUCCGAAUUGUUUACCUGAAGUGGUAUCAUCGGAUCGCGAUACUUUUGCUUCAAUGUGGAUCUGAAAUUUGUGGCAGCAAUUAUGCAGGCGACAAAGAGGGGCCGCAAUAAUGCUACUUUUGGAAGACUGUAGGAAGAUGUGUAAAGAUUCCCAACCUUUUUUUUUUUUUUUUUGGAUCAAAGAUAGCCAACUUCUAACAAUAUCAUGGUGAGUAGGUUUGGGCGAAAAGAUACUUUUGUAUUGGCCACUUCUGCCCUCAUCAGAAUUGAUCGAACUCUUAGGCCAUUGGAAUGAAAGCUAUUUAGGCUUCUGUUCAGUUCCUUCUGCUGAAUGUUGGGCUCUUAGAGAAGGCUUACAACUUGCAAAAAAUCUCAACAUCCACUCUCUCGAAGUGGAGAUGGACUCUGCCUUUAUCAUCUCCUUGUGUAAGUCAAAUAAUCUUAUUUCUCAUAAACUUGCACCUAUUAUUCUUGAUUGCAGGGAGCUAUUGACUACAUUCCAGAAAGUAUGUUUUCACCAUAAUUAAAGAGAAGCAAACAAAUGUGCAGACAUCCUUGCCAACUGGGGAAGAAGCAACACUCAAGACUUCACUUUUUUUGAAUUAUGUCCUAAUUUUGUACUUCCCUUACUUUUGCAAGACUUAAAGGGGGUUUCUACCCCACGGAUGACUGUACCUUAAUUUGCACUCUGUUGACUUGAUUUUAUUUUUAAUGCAUCCUUAUUUACCAAAAAAAAAAAAAAAAAAAAACAAGUUGGCAGUUGCACUAAGGAAAUUGAAAAGAGAAAAAAAAAAUUAGAGAAUACAGAUUGAAGUAUUGGUCGGUUAUACUAAUAUACUAAAUAUAAACUUAAGUUUCAUCAUUCCAAAAGAACCGGUCAAUAUGGGAUUUCCAAAAAAAUCAAGUAAACAUAAGAUCGGUUUUAGUCAUUGUUAUAUAUGGAAACAAAGCCAAUAUACUUUUCCCAAACUCUUAAAUACACAAAAAAAUUUUCUACUGAUUCUAUGGUAAGUUACAAAAAAAUUUUAUACAAACACUUAAAAAAUACACCUUUUAAAUGGAUCCCUUAUAAUGAAGAUGGACGCAUUAGUGCAUUUGAGGAACUAGCACAUUGUGACUCUGAACACUGCACACACUACAGAUGUGUGUGUGUGUGUGUGUUUUGUUUUCCCAAAAAUUCAAGAAUAUGAAACUGUGUCAUUUGAUUUGAUUUGAUUUUGAAUAAACACUGCCACAUUUUGGAUAUUUUCUUUUCUAGUAUUUUCGAGUUUUAAAGUUUCCAUUCAUGCUGCUUGGUCAAGUGGUCCCUUCUGAUUUCCCAUUUGUUAAUUUGAGCCCUAAUUUCAUUUGCUAUUUAGUUUCUAAACUUCCUAAACAUUUUAGUUCAACUCCAAACUUUUUCUAACUUUUGCUAUUAAGUCCCCAACAUAUCUUUAACUUUGAAAUUAGGAUUUUUUUUUUUUUUGUUUUUGUUUUCCUCCAUUGCUAUAUUGCCUUUAUAUAUGCAAUGAAAAACGCACCCUAUCUCUAUCGUACAUUUUCCCCCUUUUUUCUUGUCAAUUUCUCCUAUCUACAUGCACAAAAUCUCAAAUUCAUUUUAACCCUAAUCUCUACUAUUUUAAACCUUUUAUAUUACCACAUCUCAACCAUUAUCACCGUGACCAUUGCAACCAUCAAUCCCUAAAUUCUAAAACCUCAAUCGAAAUUGUGUAUCAACUAUAAUCUCCUUGAUUUCUUUUCCUAACUAUUUUACAUCACAAGCAGACAUAAGAAAACUCUAGUAAUUGAGUAUCAACUAUAAUGAAUAAGAUAGCAAUUAGUAGUACUAUUAUACCUAAAUGCACCAUAGUACUAUUUGCUGCAUUUCAUUUCACAGCACUAUUCAAAUCCCACUCACUUGGGGAGUCCAGCUACAAGUUGUAAUAGAGCAUCAAGGCUUUUUCUGUUGUAAUAAACAAGAGAAAAUAUGAGAUCCAUAAGUACAAAACAUUUAAGAAUAAAGAUGAUACAGCUUGACAUUUCUGAAAUCCCUGAAGCGUGGAGCAAACCUUUCGCUCAUCAUAGUGUAUGGCUAAAGAAAUAAGAUGAAAGAAAUUGGACUCUGAUAAUUGGGAUACAAGUUGUGAAAACCUAUUACAUUUGGAAAUCAGGUUUCUAUAGGAUAUUAUACUGAUUUCAUAUUAUGCUGGUUGAUAGACGCUCUCAGACUGUAAACGAAGU